rnacentral:rRNA from 1 species
GACGAACGCUGGCGGCGUGCUUAACACAUGCAAGUCGAACGGUGAAGCGCCUUCCUUUUUGGUGGGUGUGGAUGAGUGGCGAACGGGUGAGUAACACGUGAGUAACCUGCCCCCUUCUUCUGGAUAACCGCAUGAAAGUGUGGCUAAUACGGGAUAUUCUGGGUCUGUCGCAUGAUGGGUCUGGGAAAGAUAUUGUUUCGGUGGGGGAUGGGCUCGCGGCCUAUCAGCUUGUUGGUGGGGUGAUGGCCUACCAAGGCGGUGACGGGUAGCCGGCCUGGGAGGGUGGACGGCAACACUGGGACGGAGACACGGCCCAGACUCCUACGGGAGGCAGCAGUGGGGAAUAUUGCACAAUGGGCGCAAGCCUGAUGCAGCGACGCCGCGUGAGGGAUGGAGGCCUUCGGGUUGUGAACCUCUUUCGCCAGUGAGGCAGGCCUGCCUCGUUUGUGGGUGGGUUGACGGUAGCUGGAGAAGAAGCGCCGGCUAACUACGUG